rnacentral:rRNA from 1 species
GCAGAUAUCAGGAGGAACACCGAUGGCGAAGGCAGGUCUCUGGGCUGUAACUGACGCUGAGGAGCGAAAGCAUGGGGAGCGAACAGGAUUAGAUACCCUGGUAGUCCAUGCCGUAAACGUUGGGCACUAGGUGUGGGGACCAUUCCACGGUUUCCGCGCCGCAGCUAACGCAUUAAGUGCCCCGCCUGGGGAGUACGGCCGCAAGGCUAAAACUCAAAGGAAUUGACGGGGGCCCGCACAAGCGGCGGAGCAUGCGGAUUAAUUCGAUGCAACGCGAAGAACCUUACCAAGGCUUGACAUGUUCUCGAUCGCCGUAGAGAUACGGUUUCCCCUUUGGGGCGGGUUCACAGGUGGUGCAUGGUUGUCGUCAGCUCGUGUCGUGAGAUGUUGGGUUAAGUCCCGCAACGAGCGCAACCCUCGUUCCAUGUUGCCAGCACGUAGUGGUGGGGACUCAUGGGAGACUGCCGGGGUCAACUCGGAGGAAGGUGAGGACGACGUCAAAUCAUCAUGCCCCUUAUGUCUUGGGCUUCACGCAUGCUACAAUGGCCGGUACAAUGGGUUGCGAUACUGUGAGGUGGAGCUAAUCCCAAAAAGCCGGUCUCAGUUCGGAUUGGGGUCUGCAACUCGACCCCAUGAAGUCGGAGUCGCUAGUAAUCGCAGAUCAGCAACGCUGCGGUGAAUACGUUCCCGGGCCUUGUACACACCGCCCGUCAAGUCACGAAAGUCGGUAACACCCGAAGCCGGUGGCCUAACCCUUUGGGGGAGCCGACCAGCGGUGGCCCCUCACCCC